rnacentral:rRNA from 1 species
UGGGGAAUUUUGGACAAUGGGCGCAAGCCUGAUCCAGCAAUGCCGCGUGCAGGAUGAAGGCCUUCGGGUUGUAAACUGCUUUUGUACGGAACGAAAAGCCUCUCUCUAAUACAGGGGGGUGAUGACGGUACCGUAAGAAUAAGCACCGGCUAACUACGUGCCAGCAGCCGCGGUAAUACGUAGGGUGCAAGCGUUAAUCGGAAUUACUGGGCGUAAAGCGUGCGCAGGCGGUUUUGUAAGACAGUGGUGAAAUCCCCGGGCUCAACCUGGGAACUGCCAUUGUGACUGCAAGGCUGGAGUGCGGCAGAGGGGGGAUGGAAUUCCGCGUGUGGCAGUGAAAUGCGUAGAUAUGCGGAGGAACACCGAUGGCGAAGGCAAUCCCCUGGGCCUGCACUGACGCUCAUGCACGAAAGCGUGGGGAGCAAAACAGGAUUAGAUACCCUGGGUAGUCCACGCCCUAAAACGAUGUCAACUGGUUGUUGGGGGAUUUAUUUCUUCAGUAACGAAGCUAACGCGUGAAGUUGACCGCCUGGGGGAGUACGG